UGCUUUGAUGUACACACAAUAUGUACUAAUCCAUAUAUAUACAUAUAUCUAUAUCAUAUAUACAUACUUAUAUGUGCAUAUUUGUUAGUAAAAAUUAAAGUAUAUGGCCUAUAUUUAUGCAAAGAUGCUAGGUUUCUCUUUUAGCAUUUUAUUGAGGUUUCAUAGGAAUAUACCAACAUUUGAUUCAGAGUAAGUGAUUCAUUGUAAGGGUUGUGUUCAGAACCCAUUAAGCUUAAAACUCUGUAUCAUUUAGAAACCAUUUGGCUUAUUCAUCUUUAUUUUCCCUUAGACUUUUCUUCCUAACAAGAAAGAGCCUACACUUGGUUUCUUGAGCAUCUUUGGCUUUUGGCUACUUCUUUCUCUUCUCUUCAAAUCCUUUGCAAUUUAAGAUAUAGGAAGAGAGCUAUUGUAAGAAAGUGGCUCAAAUAUCUGUUAGCAAAGGAUUUAAUUAAUUGCAUUGGGAACAGUAAGUGGCAGAGGCCAAGCACUUUUUGGUGGAUGAAAGAAUUUCCAAUGACCUCCUCUACUUGAGAUAGCAGGGGCAGAAGAAAGAGAAUCCUUACAGAUUUAAGUUAAGCCUUAGCUCUCCUGUGUUUGGCCUCCUCUAAAGGGCUGAACAGAUGAUCAGCUGGCAUAAAAUGUUAAGAUUUUGUUUGCUUGUUUCUUUUUAAUGUGUGUAAUCAACACACUAACAUAGGCCAGGUAGAAUUCCUUGGGGGCACAUGCUUAUGAGCCAUUAUUAUGAGUGUGUGUGUUUAUGUGUGUACACACCAGCGUGCAUGCGCAUUUACCAGCACAUGACUCCUGGCUCCCCAUAUUCCAACUUUAUCACCUGCUUUGGCCUUCUUUAGUCUUAGUAUCUUCAGUCUUCCCCCUUGGCCACCUGGAUUUCAUGGACUACAAGUUUUCAACAUGACCAUCUACUUCUGUGUCUGCCUUCUCAGCUAUGAAGAUAAGACUCACUUUGGUCCUUAUUCUCCUACCAGUUAACCCUACCAGACCAGACCCCACAGUCCAGCUCCAUGUUCUUCAAGUAUGAAGAUUCAGUCAUUUUAUAAGAAUGCUGGGAACCAGAGCUGAUAAGGGCACCCCUGGAUAGUACUGGUCUUUAUUAAUUCCGAGAGAAGGGACAGACUCUGGAUCUUUAACCAAAGACUUGUCUUCCACUACCAUGGGUCCCGGUGGGCAGCAUUAUACAGUUUAAAACAUUAUCAGCCUGGAUGAUCCUCUGUAGCUUUCCUCCUCUCUCCAGAGAAUAAUGUCUGACAUCUCAGGUCAUGGACAUGUCUAUCUGAGAAAAAAUGUGAAAGAGGAGUGGUGAAAGCCAGACCCUCAGUGACCCAGGGCUGAGUAACAGUGCCAGAGAGAGGUCAGAUGCCAUGACUUAGGGCACACAUAGGGGGAACCUAGAUUCACUAUUUCACAAUAGGUUUAAAAUACCUAUUCUGUGUAUUUGAUGCAGAGUCUUGGGAAACUCACUCUUUGUCUCUAGGGCUAUUCUCUUACUAAUAAAAAAAUUAUGAAAAAAGAAUAGCAGCCUCAAAUGAUUAGGCCAGAAUCAUAUAAGUAAGGCAUGUGGAAAGCUUUCUGCAUUGUCAAAGGACUAACACAUAGGUGGUCUUCCUAUUUCUGGGGCUAGUGACACUUUAAUGUGAGGUUAGGGGCAGCAGGACCUCAGUCUUCCCAGACGUAAAUGGAGGAAGCUGGCAAUGGAGACAGGUUCCAGGAAUCAAACUGAGAGCUACCCUUUCAAGCCUGGAUGACAAGAUAAAGCCACACAACAGAGAGUUUGGGCUUCUGGAUUCUUUAUUUUUAAACAACAACUUCCCUGGCUCUUGCCUACUCUGUUGACAAUGGGUCUAGAAUAAAGAGAAAGAAAAACAAUAUACAUAUGAACAAUAAUUAUAUGAGCAGAAAGCCUUUGUGGGAGGGAGGUUAUAAGAUCCUCUGCAACAUCUUAAUCAACGAAGAGCAGCUCUGCCAAAAGUUCCAAGAAUCAUCUUUUAUAUCUAAGGUCAGCAAACUAUUGCUUGUGGGCCAACUGUGGUCUCCCAUCUGCUUUUGAGAAUAAAGUUAUAUUGGAAUACAGCCAUGCUUAUUUAGUCUAUGGCUGUUUUUACAGUAUAGGCAGAGUUAAGCAGCUGUAGGACCUGCAAAGCUUGAAAUAGUUGCUCUGUAGCCUUUUUGAGGAAAAGUUUGAAGACUCCUGUUCUAUACCUUCAAACAAGUAUCCAAGUUAAAGUCAACAUCUGGACUGCUAGAUUACUUGAAAUGAGACGGUGACAUUCUUAAAUAAUAAUAAUAAUAAUAAUGGGGCUGGGGUAUCCUCCAGGAACAAUAUGCUUGUUUUGCCUCCUUUCUCAAAGAGAAGAACCAUGAAUCAUCAAAGAAAGUGACAGUUUCUUAGUCAUGAACUUUAAGAAAAAUCCAAAUCAAUCACUUGAAACCCAAGGGGUCCCAGAGAAAAAUAAUGCAAGCAGUAUUUAGGAAAUGGUAUCAGAUGCCCAUCCAUCCCAGUUAUCCUCUUUCCAUCGGUAAUACACAAGAUCCAGAAAAAUGGGUCCUUUGAUGGUAAGAAUUAUAUUAUGCUAAAGCAGAGACUGAGUCAGGCCAGUUGUGAGGACUGGAUUGAAAGCACUUGCCAGAGAGAAGGUAGUAUACACCCAUACCUGAGAAUAAAUAUUCUGCUACUGUCCUUAUUUUUCCUGUGAAAUCAAAGCACAAAAGCCUAAUGUUUUCCAAACUCUCCGUUUCCCUGAGCUGGGUGCCCACUGCAGUCAUGAGGGGAUGUGCAGGCAAUUCCCACCCCAGCAAGGAGCUCAGAGCAAUCUGAGGCUCUUUCUCCCCAGGAAGGGUGGGGGCUCAGUGCCAAGCAGGGAGAAAGGAACACGACUAACAUGUCAUUCAAGGCUGGGUGGGUCCUUACAGAAAGAAAGGCAGUGCUCAGUACGCUGAAAAGUGCAUAAUUGUCAAAUGUCCAGACCUGUCAAUCUAUGCAAAGAAUCAUUUUAACUUUCCUGUUUAUUUCAGCAACUAACACAUGCAUAACAUAUAACUACUGGCCAUUACUUCCACUCCCUACAACUGAUCAGAUGUAUAUAAUCAGUGACC
rnacentral:lncRNA from 1 species